GCUUCUACAGCCAUACCACCCUGAACAUGCCCGAUCUCAUCUUAUCUCAGAAGCUAAGCAGGUUAGGACCUGGUUUUUACUUGAGUGGGAGAAAGGACCAGCUUGCUAAGCU
rnacentral:rRNA from 1 species